GCUGCCGUGGCUCAGGGGUAGAGCACCCCCUUGGUAAGGGGGAGGUCGAGAGUUCGAAUCUCUCCGGCAGCACCA
rnacentral:tRNA from 7 species